ACGGCGUCGAGCGGCGGACGGGUGAGUAAUGCCUACGAAAUUGCCCUGAUGUGGGGGAUAACCAUUGGAAACGAUGGCUAAUACCGCAUAAUGCCUACGGGCCAAAGAGGGGGACCUUCGGGCCUCUCGCGUCAGGAUAUGCCUAGGUGGGAUUAGCUAGUUGGUGAGGUAAUGGCUCACCAAGGCGACGAUCCCUAGCUGGUCUGAGAGGAUGAUCAGCCACACUGGAACUGAGACACGGUCCAGACUCCUACGGGAGGCAGCUGUGGGGAAUAUUGCACAAUGGGCGCAAGCCUGAUGCAGCCAUGCCGCGUGUGUGAAGAAGGCCUUCGGGUUGUAAAGCACUUUCAGUCGUGAGGAAGGUAGUGUAGUUAAUAGCUGCAUUAUUUGACGUUACCGACAGAACAAGCACCGGCUAACUCCGUGCCAUCACCCGCGGUAAUACGGAUGGUGCGAGCGUUAAUCGGAAUUACUGGGCGUAAAGCGCAUGCAGGUGGUUUGUUAAGUCAGAUGUGGAAGCCCGGCGCUCAACCUCGCAAUAGCAUUUGAAACUGGUACACUAG
rnacentral:rRNA from 1 species